AGAGUUUGAUCCUGGCUCAGGAUGAACGCUAGCGACAGGCUUAACACAUGCAAGUCGAGGGGCAGCAUGAGGUAGCAAUACCUUGAUGGCGACCGGCGCACGGGUGAGUAACGCGUAUGCAACCUGCCCGAUACCGGGGUAUAGCCCAUGGAAACGUGGAUUAACACCCCAUAGUACUUUUAUCCUGCAUGGGAUGUGAGUUAAAUGUUCAAGGUAUCGGAUGGGCAUGCGUCCUAUUAGUUAGUUGGCGGGGUAACAGCCCACCAAGACGAUGAUAGGUAGGGGUUCUGAGAGGAAGGUCCCCCACAUUGGAACUGAGACACGGUCCAAACUCCUACGGGAGGCAGCAGUGAGGAAUAUUGGUCAAUGGACGAGAGUCUGAACCAGCCAAGUCGCGUGAGGGAAGACUGCCCUAUGGGUUGUAAACCUCUUUUAUAAGGGAAGAAUAAGUUCUACGUGUAGAAUGAUGCCUGUACCUUAUGAAUAAGCAUCGGCUAACUCCGUGCCAGCAGCCGCGGUAAUACGGAGGAUGCGAGCGUUAUCCGGAUUUAUUGGGUUUAAAGGGUGCGUAGGCGGUUUAUUAAGUUAGUGGUUAAAUAUUUGAGCUAAACUCAAUUGUGCCAUUAAUACUGGUAAACUGGAGUACAGACGAGGUAGGCGGAAUAAGUUAAGUAGCGGUGAAAUGCAUAGAUAUAACUUAGAACUCCGAUAGCGAAGGCAGCUUACCAGACUGUAACUGACGCUGAUGCACGAGAGCGUGGGUAGCGAACAGGAUUAGAUACCCUGGUAGUCCACGCCGUAAACGAUGCUCACUGGUUCUGUGCGAUAUAUUGUACGGGAUUAAGCGAAAGUAUUAAGUGAGCCACCUGGGGAGUACGUCGGCAACGAUGAAACUCAAAGGAAUUGACGGGGGCCCGCACAAGCGGAGGAACAUGUGGUUUAAUUCGAUGAUACGCGAGGAACCUUACCCGGGCUU
rnacentral:rRNA from 1 species